AAUUUCACUUCGAAUAAAAGAAGCAGAAGCGAAGCUCCCUGCCUGCGCCCAACACGGCGCCAUGGAUCUUAGCCGAUCGUCUCUAUCCUCGUCGAUUUCAUCCAAGUGGGAUAUAGGGGAAGUCGACUUCGCCCUUUGAAACACACCCCGUCGCCAUCGGCGUUGCCAUCUGCAGCCUGCUCCUGCGUUUCUUGUUGCUGCGUCUCGCUGAUCGGGCACCACCAUCUAGCGGCCGUGCUCCUUCUCGGGAUGGAGCAUGGCACCUCUUCAUCAACUUCGUCGGUUCGAUAUUGGUGGCUUCGUUCGCGUGGUUGCUGCUUCAUGACUCCUCCCACUCCGUCCCCUGGUUGUUCGUGCUGCUCCUGCUUUCCCGUGGUCUCCCGGUCGUGGAUCAGCGUUUAAGGCCGCAUGUCUAAGCUAGUUUUGUAUAAGAUGCACUCGGGCCUUCCGUUUAUAUGAAAACAUAAGGAGUCCCCAAGCCUUCGGCAUCAUCAAAUUAUCUCCCAACCAUAAGAAAGGAGAGCAGGGGACAAGUACAAACCACCUAUGAACGGUGAUGGACCUUGUAGCGACUAGAUCUGAUUAAGAUAAGCUAAGCCCUCAAAAGAAAUUGGGAUCUACUGUUAUUGAAGAGAUCGAAGAUAACCUCAGCAAUCGUUUUGACGAGUAGGUCUACUCUAGUAGCCAAAAUGUGGGAGUCAUUACAUCAUAUAGUCUUCAUUUGACCUCUGAGAGGUGACAACUAGAUCUUUGCUGUGGCAAAAGCAUUAACUUGCAAUCUAAG